rnacentral:rRNA from 1 species
GUCCACGCCGUAAACGAUGAGUACUAAGUGUCGGAAGAAUUCGGUGCUGUAGUUAACGCAAUAAGUACUCCGCCUGAGUAGUACGUGCGCAAGCAUGAAACUCAAAGGAAUUGACGGGACCCCGCACAAGCGGUGGAUCAUGUUGUUUAAUUCGAAGAUACGCGAAGAACCUUACCAGGUCUUGACAUCCCCUGCAAUACUAUAGAGAUAUAGUGGAGGUUACCAGGGUGACAGGUGGUGCAUGGUUGUCGU